rnacentral:rRNA from 1 species
GACGAACGCUGACAGAAUGCUUAACACAUGCAAGUCGAGGGGUAAGGGGUCCUUGCACAAGGGCAACCAUGGGGGACGGGGGAGAAACGCGUAAGGGACUUCCUUCCGGGACUGGGAUAAAAGGGGGAAACUCUUGCAAGAACCGGAUAAGGGAAUGGGGCGGCAUGGCUUUAGGAGGAAAGGAGACGCCUGCGGAGAGCCUUGCGUCCUAUUAGCUAGUUGGUGAGGUAAUGGCUCACCAAGGGGAAGAUAGGUAGCCGGCCUGAGAGGGUGGACGGCCACAAGGGGACUGAGAUACGGCCCUUACUCCUACGGGAGGCAGCAGUGGGGAAUAUUGGACUAUGGGGGCAACCCUGAUCCAGCAAUUCUGUGUGCACGAAGAAGGUUUUCGGAUUGUAAAGUGCUUUCAGCAGGGAAGAAGUAAGUGACGGUACCUGCAGAAGAAGCGACGGCUAAAUACGUG